GAUGAACGCUGGCGGCGUGCCUAAUACAUGCAAGUCGAGCGAACAGACGAGGAGCUUGCUCCUCUGACGUUAGCGGCGGACGGGUGAGUAACACGUGGAUAACCUACCUAUAAGACUGGGAUAACUUCGGGAAACCGGAGCUAAUACCGGAUAAUAUAUUGAACCGCAUGGUUCAAUAGUGAAAGACGGUUUUGCUGUCACUUAUAGAUGGAUCCGCGCCGCAUUAGCUAGUUGGUAAGGUAACGGCUUACCAAGGCAACGAUGCGUAGCCGACCUGAGAGGGUGAUCGGCCACACUGGAACUGAGACACGGUCCAGACUCCUACGGGAGGCAGCAGUGGGGAAUCUUCCGCAAUGGGCGAAAGCCUGACCGAGCCACGCCGCGUGAAUGAUGAAGGUCUUCGGAUCGUAAAACUCUGUUAUUUGGAAAGAAAAAAUGUUGGAGAAACUAUGCACGUCUUGACGGUACCGAAAGAGAAAGCCACGGCUAACUACGUG
rnacentral:rRNA from 1 species